rnacentral:rRNA from 1 species
UACAGAGGGGGCAAGCGUUAUUCGGAAUUAUUGGGCGUAAAGGGCGCGUAGGCGGCCUGGCAAGUGGAAGGUGAAAUCCCUCGGCUUAACCGAGGAACUGCCCUCCAAACUGCUUGGCUUGAGUCCGGGAGAGGUGAGUGGAAUUCCCGGUGUAGCGGUGAAAUGCGCAGAUAUCGGGAAGAACACCCGUGGCGAAGGCGGUUCUCUGGGACGGUACUGACGCUGAGACGCGAGAGCGUGGGGAGCGAACAGG